CCUACGGGCUGCAGCAGUGGGGAAUAUUGCACAAUGGGCGCAAGCCUGAUGCAGCCAUGCCGCGUGUAUGAAGAAGGCCUUCGGGUUGUAAAGUACUUUCAGCGAGGAGGGAGGCGUUAAGGUUAAUAACCUUAGCGAUUGACGUUACUAGCAGAAGAAGCACCGGCUAACUCCGUGCCAGCAGCCGCGGUAAUACGGAGGGUGCAAGCGUUAAUCGGAAUUACUGGGCGUAAAGCGCACGCAGGCGGUCUGUCAAGUCGGAUGUGAAAUCCCCGGGCUCAACCUGGGAACUGCAUUCGAAACUGGCAGGCUAGAGUCUUGUAGAGGGGGGUAGAAUUCCAGGUGUAGCGGUGAAAUGCGUAGAGAUCUGGAGGAAUACCGGUGGCGAAGGCGGCCCCCUGGACAAAGACUGACGCUCAGGUGCGAAAGCGUGGGGAGCAAACAGGAUUAGAUACCCGAGUAGUC
rnacentral:rRNA from 1 species